AACGAACGCUGGCGGCAGGCUUAACACAUGCAAGUCGAACGAGAUCUUCGGAUCUAGUGGCAGACGGGGGAGGAACACGUGGGAACAUCGCUUUCAGUUCGGAAUAACGUCGGGCAACUAACGCUAAUACCGGAGACGUUCUGCGUGAGAAAGUUUUAUCGCUGAAAGAUUGGCCCGCGUCUGAUUAGCUAGUUGGUGAGGUAACGGCUCACCAAGGCUAUGAGCAGUAGCUGUUCUGGGAGGAUGAGCAGCCCCAUUGGGACUGAGACACGGCGCAAACUCCUACUGGAGGCAGCAGUGAGGAAUAUAGGACAAAGGGCGCAAGCCUGAACCAGCCAUGCCGCGUGAGUGAUGACGGCCUUCGGGUUGUAAAGCUCUUUUGUCCGGGAAGAUAAUGACUGUACCGGAAGAAUAAGCCCCGGCAAACUUCGUGCCAGCAGCCGCCGUAA
rnacentral:rRNA from 1 species